rnacentral:snRNA from 1 species
AGCUUUGUGCAGUGGCAGUAUCAUAGCCAAUGAGGUCUAUAUGAGGAGUGAUUACUGCUAAUUGAAAACUUUUCCCAAGAGUGGCGAAAAAGAACUGCACUACUUCUAGAUAUCAUCAAUA